GAACCUUGGCCUGCCUCUCACCCUACUGGUAUCGGAUGAUUCCUGGCCUGCCUACAGUGACUAGAAAUCUGCCUGCCUCCUAUAUUCCUCCACAGUCAAGAAACUGAAAAAAGUUCUUACUUAAUCCCUACUUUGAACCUUGGCCUGCCUCUCACCCUACUGGUAUCGGAUGAUUCCUGGCCUGCCUACAGUGACUAGAAAUCUGCCUGCCUCCUAUAUUCCUCCACAGUCAAGAAACUGAAAAAAGUUCUUACUUAAUCCCUACUUUGAACCUUGGCCUGCCUCUCACCCUACUGGUAUCGGAUGAUUCCUGGCCUGCCUACAGUGACUAGAAAUCUGCCUGCCUCCUAUAUUCCUCCACAGUCAAGAAACUGAAAGUAGGUAGUGGGCUUGCAUAAGUGAUUCAUUAAGCCUCUACCAAGUCUACCUUCUGAGUCAAAUAGCUUGCCCGUGCUUGUGUGCCUAGCAGCCAGUAUCUCUCCUCCUCUGAUCCUCUACUACCACUCUACUCUCUCCUUUACACUAUUCUUCCUUUUCCUUGCAACCUUUCCCUGUCCUUUUUCUGCUUUUUCCUGCUCUCCCACUCCCACCUUUACACGAUUCCUCCUUUUCCUUGCAACCUUUCCCUGUCCUUUCUCUGCUAUUUCCUGCUCUCUCUCAUUUACCAGCCCUGGCCACUAGGUGGCGCUCUCCUCACUCUCUUUUUUAGUUGCUACUUCAUAUGCCUCUGACUAGCCUUUAAAGUUCUUGCUGGUUCUCCUAUUCUCCCUUAGCCUCUAUUUUCUACCUGACAGUCUGCCUAUUUCCUUGGAUAUAGUGCUAGUACUGCUCCAGUAUCUUGCCAGUCCUUCUCAGCUUACCCUCACCCAUUUCUUCCUUACCUCCUUCUGCAUCUCUCUGACCUUCUACUGCAUACCUUCUCCUUUACCACUGGUCUACCUGGGUUUCCUUUUUCCAUACAC